CUGCUAGUGGGUAUUUGGGCUGUUCCUAAUUUGGGGCUAUUAUGAAUAAAGUUCUUAGAUUCUCUCCAAGAAAAAAAAAGAAUCAGCCCCAGGUGCCAGAAAGGACAGGAGGUGCUCAGAAAGGCAAGAGCCUGUGCCCCGGUGAGGCUCCCGUGAAGGCGCGGCUGCCACAGCUUCCGUUUUACAGCCUCCCGCAGUGUGUGGGAAAUUUCAUGGAUCGUGCACUGCAUCGUGGUGGGAGCCGAAAGGUGAUUCCAGGUUGUGUCAGUCAGUGCUCCCGAAAGACCCAGCGGUAAGGCAAGACACGAGAUACAUAAGGAUGUCCUAGACUUCCACUCCGUCCUGUUACAUCCUCCAGGCGACAGCCCUGGGGUUGGUGCCACACACACCAGCUGGGUCUCCCGUCUUCAGUGAAGCCCUCAGCUGCGCGCAGAACUGUGCAGCUCCCAUUUGGCUGGGCAUUCCGUACUCAAGUUGACACACUCAGUUAACUCUGGUGCCUGGCCCGAGGCAGCCUGCAGGAGCCACCAGUCAUUCCUCUCCCCUCCCCAGAGCUCCCUGGGCCUCCCCUCAUGAGCCUGGCAGGGGAGAUCACACUGGCUGCCAUCUGAUCCUCGUCUCCAUCUCUGUCCCCAGCCACUUGCUCGUGCCACUGAACAUGCAGGGAGGUGAGGAGAGGGCUCCUGGCUGAGGGGUCCUCUAGCGGGAGGACCCAGCACUGCUGAGAAAGCCCACAGUGAGCCAUGUGGCAGGGAUCAGAAAGCCCAAUGAGCCUGCACUCCUGGCUGCCAAACCUGUGUCCUGAACUAUAGGGGACAAAGGGGACUGUACUAUAGGGGAAUAAGAGACAAGUCUCAGCUGAUGUGGUGGUGCACCCCUCUCAUCCAGCACUCUGGGAGGCUGAGUCAGGAGGAUCUCAAGUUUGAGCCCAACCUGGGCAACUUAGCCACAAGACCUCGUCUCAAAAUAAAAAAUACAAAGGACUGGGGAUGUUGCUGAGUGCAGAGGCCCUGGGUUCAACUCCCAGUACAGGGUAGGGGAGCUCCGGUUAAUACAAAUCCUCCAGGGCCGGGGAUUUAGCUCAGUGGUUUUGCCGCCUGCUGUGCAAGCGCAAGGACCUGAGUUCAAUCCCCGGUACCAAAAACCCCCCAAAUCCUCCAAACCACGGAACAGGAUGUGUGAGAAGAUAAUUCUCCAAAGGGCAGAGGUAUCUUUCUCCACUUAGGUGAUGAGAGCCUGCAGGAAGCCCCAGCCUGAUGCCAAAGCUGAUUCAGAGUUGAGAAGCUGGCGUGUAUGUGUGUGUGCACAUGUGUGUGUGUCCACAUACGUGUGUCCUCAGUGAGAAGGCUGGAGCAACACAGCUAAUGAGUCACAGACCGGCCACUGCUUGGGGACUGCACAGCUGUCCCCCUGGGGUCCUCCCUGCCAUCUCCUCCAAAUGGCUCCGCUUCCCCAAGACAACACGAGGCUGGGGACACUGGGUCCCCUGGAGUGGAGCCUCUCGAGCUCCAGAGAGAGUGGAACCUGGUGCCCAUGGUUCUCUGGGGACCCACGGUCUUCUCCACUGCAGGCCAAACGGUGUCCUGUUCUGGGACUCAGGUGACGGAGACUCUUCCGGCCUAUUCCAGGCUGUGGACACCUUUCUCAGAUGGAAAAUCUACAGGGCAGGGAAUGGAGCUCAGUGGCAGAGCGAUUACCCAGCAUGAGGUCCUGGCUUCCACCCCCAGCAACUCAAAAAAGAAAUGAAUGGGCCACAGCGGCUUGUACUUCAGGGAGGAAAACCUGACCAAAUUCGUAGAGUCCGGGCGUUAGUGAGAACUGAACCUCAUCUCCACCGGGAGCCCCUAGGGAGAGAAGCCAAGUGCCCAGAGCAGGGGUCCUCUCACUUGGCAAGGCAGGGCCGUCCAUCAGCGUCCCCACAGGGCGACCCUGUGACUGUCCAGAGUGCAGAGAUACAGGGCCGCAGGAGGGAGGCCCCACUGGGAGACUGCCAAGGGCCCAGGAGCCAUGCCAAGCCCACGGGCCAUGGCCCACAUCCGGCUCUGUCCCUCGAGGGCCACGUGAGCAGGCUGGAUCCGCUCAUUUUCCCUUGAGAUGAGUUAAUCUGGGAUUACUAUGGGCGUGCACUUCAGGGCAUCUCGAAAGUCAUGAGAGGCUGCAUGGAGACCACGGGCUGGGGACCAAACCCGGCCUCAGCGGCUGUUCGGGCGCGGGGUCACGGCGGGGAGCCUCAGCGUCCCUUACACAGGAGGCGGCGGCGCGAAGAAACCCGCCCGCGGCGCGGGGUGCAGGGGCUUCCGGCCCAUCCAGGCCCAGGUUCACGUCCGGGGAGGCCGAAAGCUCCCGCCUUGAGGGCCCAGACUGGGGAUCUUGGCUACCAAGGGCCCGCUCGCUGCGCAGAGGGGCGGACGGACGGUGCCAAACGCGCCCGUCCUGGUCCUCGGAGCGCCCUGCGUGCCGCCCUGUCCCGGCCCGGGGGACGCUGUUCACCGGCCGCAAGCCCCCCACGCCCGCUCCGGGCUGGGCCCUGGCCUGGGCCACGGGCCGAGCCCUCUAGUCCGUCUACUCACGGGACCUCCGGCGACCCGGCUGGCAGCCAAUGGGCACGCGCGCCCGCUCCCCGCCCCGCCGCCCGUGCGCCAGGCCGCGAAGUGUGCGCCCCGGGGCCGAGGGGAAGCGGGUCGGGCCGGCCGGCGGGGUGCCCAGCUCCCGCCCUGGCCCGAGCCCCAGCCGGC
rnacentral:lncRNA from 1 species